rnacentral:rRNA from 1 species
UACGUAGGGUGCAAGCGUUGUCCGGAAUUAUUGGGCGUAAAGAGCGUGUAGGCGGCCCGAUUAGUCCGCUGUGAAAGUCCAGGGCUCAACCCUGGAAUGCCGGUGGAUACUGUCGGGCUAGAGUCCGGAAGGGGCGAGUGGAAUUCCUGGUGUAGCGGUGAGAUGCGCAGAUAUCAGGAGGAACACCAAUGGCGAAGGCAGCUCGCUGGGACGUGACUGACGCUGAGACGCGAAAGCGUGGGGAGCAAACAGG